rnacentral:misc_RNA from 1 species
AAACAGAGACAGCAAAGCUUCGUUGCAUGUUAUAUAACACAUAGGCGCACUUUUAUGGUUAUAUUAGUAGGUCAGUUCUCUUUGUUGGUUUAUUAACGGAAAUAACUUGUCCAAUUUUUUUGUGUGUGUCUUGAUAAAUCUUUCCCUUCUCUCAGGUAUGCUCGUAUGCAAUGUUUGUUAUCAAGUGAUAUUUUAUGGAAUCAUCAAUCACUUACUCCUAGGUCGACGUGUCAUGGGCAGCUAAUAGUAAUCAAUGAAAACCACACAACCCACGGGACCUCGUUGAAAUUCGUCAGAUUUAUAGGCUAAAACACUGUUGACACAAUGUACGAAAUUAAUUUUUUUGAGUGGCCGUUUCUUAACCAUGUUUCUCUUCUUUUAUUGGCCUUUGCUCCUUUCGCAUUUGUUUAUUAACAGUUUCAUUUCAUGUAAUACAUACUUGCAAAACAAACAUCGAAGAUCUAAUUUUAUCUGUAAACAAGGCUCUUCCCCCUUUUUAACCCUUGGGGAAAGAAUUUUUUUGAAUGGAUCUAGACUACCUGUAUUGUAUGUGUGUCUGUGAGUAAUGUAACAAACAAAAGUUAUGACUUUUUUCUUUUAUCGCAUUGAUUCAAGCGAUAAAAAGGAUCAUAAUUUGCUUUUUUCUUGAUAAUAUUGAUAUUUUGUGGUAUUGUAUGACUAAACUCAGGGAGCUCACAACAACAAAUCGACUAUGUUCAUUAUCCUUUUAUCUUGUGGCGUACUAAUGUAUUUUUCCCAUUUGUUUAAUAUGUGUGAAUGUGAUGCAUUGAUAAUACGUGUAUACUGGAAUUUUUUUAAAUGAAAUAUUUAUAUUUCUAUGGCUUCGUAACCGACAUGUUUAAUAUGAUAUAAAGAUAAGUCUAUUUUGUCAAAUUAAAGUAUGUUAGACUUAAAAAGUCAUCUUUUUAAAUAGAUUAAUGGUCUUGAAUGAAAAAAGGCAAAAAAUAUUUGAAAACAUUUUUUCUGGUCACGAGAUAAUUUUAAAAGUAAGAAUUCGUCAAAACCAAUCUUUUACAUAAACUGAAAUAUAUUAGCAGCAACAAAAUACGGGUCAAAUAUAUUUUUGAUACACAUCGCCUGAAUGUUUGCAUACAGUAGUCAAGACUCUUAAUUUAACAACGCUGUCUACCUCAUGUUUUUGCCUUACGAAUCUUGUCAUUAGAUUAACAAUUAUAUCUGUAUCUUUUUUUCUUUGUUUUUUUUUUCUUUUAGAUUUUGUUCUCUGCUGUUAAAAUACUCUUAUAUUAACCAAUUAUACUAAUGUGUUGUAUAUCUUGAAGAUGAUUGUUAUGGACACAAAGUAUUCAUAGUAACAAAACCAACGAAAUCUACGUGUGUUACUUGAAUUAUUUUUAUCAUUUCUCUCGCAGAUCAAAGAUAAAACAGACAAGAUUUUCUGACUUUUAUCGGUUUUUUUCUUGUCAAUAUUUGGUAUAUUUUGGAAAUAAAUUGUUAAAC